rnacentral:rRNA from 1 species
UACAGAGGGUGCGAGCGUUGUUCGGAAUUACUGGGCGUAAAGAGCGCGCAGGCGGUCGUUCAAGUCGCGUGUGAAAGCCCCCGGCUCAACUGGGGAGGGUCACGCGAUACUGAUCGACUCGAAGGCAGGAGAGGGAAGUGGAAUUCCCGGUGUAGUGGUGAAAUGCGUAGAUAUCGGGAGGAACACCAGUGGCGAAGGCGACUUCCUGGCCCGUUCUUGACGCUGAGGCGCGAAAGCUAGGGGAGCAAACGGG